CUCGUAGGCGGUUUGUCGCGUCGGGAGUGAAAUCCACUGGCUUAACUGGUGGCUUGCUUUCGAUACGGGCAGACUGGAGGUAUGCAGGGGAGAACGGAAUUCCUGGUGUAGCGGUGAAAUGCGCAGAUAUCAGGAGGAACACCGGUGGCGAAGGCGGUUCUCUGGGCAUGUCCUGACGCUGAGGAGCGAAAGUGUGGGAGCGAACA
rnacentral:rRNA from 1 species